GAGACACUGCUCAUCCACAACUAAUCAGGCUUAUAUGAAUAUGGCUCAUUCCUUCCUGGGAAGAAUAAAGAAUAUAAGAAUAUAACACUCGCUGCACAGAGAAGAAGUAAACAAAGCCGAACUACUCCGUUUUUUUUAUUUUAGGGAUGAAAAAACUAACUGCUUAUAAUACGUAAGAUUAUAAAACAAUUACCACAAUGUAACAGAUCCACUCUUUUCAUUGCCACCCUCUAGAUUUGACCAAAAUCCAGUCUAUUCACCCAGGGGGGUGUUGUGAAGAGGGGAUCCAGCUUUUGUUUAUUCAUAGAAGAGUAGGGUGCCUUCAUUCUUUUUCACAGGGACCUUGAGGACUGAAGCACACUUGAUCCUUUGCUUAUCUGUUUGCGCUCCAGCAAGUUGGAAUGACGCCUCAGAGACUGCUAACUGAGAAGGAUUACACAGGGUGGAUUUUUCACAGAGCACUGGUAAGGCUGAGCAGCAGAAACUGGCUUUACGAACCACAACAUGGGACAAGCCUUCCCUUUUUCCAUAUGUUUCCAUGUGGAAGAAAUCCAAGUGAAGACCUCAGAUAUUUAUAACCCCUCCCCAGCUGAAUGGCAGCUUUCCUCCUCUACAGAUGUAUUACACUGCAGGGUCCUCGUCUUCUCAAGAGCCCCUCUGAGAUGCAAUGGAUUGUUUUAAAAGGAUAUCCUGCCUCAACCCAGACGAGUCACAGACUGCAGUGACGACAUUAGCCAGGACAGGACAGGAGACAGACAAAGCAUGGGGCUGUGCACUGAGCUAAAGUCAGAGGCAUAGCCAAUCAGGAGAAAAGCACCAUGAGAAAACAGAAAGCUCCGAGGCUGGGAGCAGGAAUGUAAGUAUGGAAAGUGAACUCCUGAAUCCAGCUAUCAGGAAUCCUGCCAAGCAUUUGAGGAUAGACUGAGGGGUAAGGGCUGGAAACACCUAGCACCAAAUUUCAAACAAGCUCCCAA